GCCUACGGGGGGCAGCAGUGGGGAAUAUUGCACAAUGGGGGAAACCCUGAUGCAGCGACGCCGCGUGAGUGAAGAAGCGCCUCGGCGCGUAAAGCUCUGUCAGCAGGAACGACGAUGACGGUACCUGAAGAAGAAGCCCCGGCUAACUACGUGCCAGCAGCCGCGGUAAUACGUAGGGGGCAAGCGUUAUCCGGAUUUAUUGGGUUUAAAGGGUGCGCAGGCGGACCAUCAAGUCAGCGGUAAAAUCGUGGGGCCCAACCCCAUCCCGCCGUUGAAACUGGCGGUCUUGAGUGAGCGAGAAGUAU
rnacentral:rRNA from 1 species